GCAAGUAAAAGUCGUAACAAGGUCUCCGUAGGUGAACCUGCGGAGGGAUCAUUACAAGUGACCCUGGUCUUACCACCGGGAUGUUCAUAACCCUUUGUUGUCCGACUCUGUUGCCUCCGGGGCGACCCUGCCUUCGGGCGGGGGCUCCGGGUGGACACUUCAAACUCUUGCGUAACUUUGCAGUCUGAGUAAACUUAAUUAAUAAAUUAAAACUUUUAACAACGGAUCUCUUGGUUCUG
rnacentral:misc_RNA from 1 species